GACGAACGCUGGCGGCGUGCUUAACACAUGCAAGUCGAACGGAAAGGCCCUGCUUUUGUGGGGUGCUCGAGUGGCGAACGGGUGAGUAACACGUGAGUAACCUGCCCUUGACUUUGGGAUAACUUCAGGAAACUGGGGCUAAUACCGGAUAGGAGCUCCUGCUGCAUGGUGGGGGUUGGAAAGUUUCGGCGGUUGGGGAUGGACUCGCGGCUUAUCAGCUUGUUGGUGGGGUAGUGGCUUACCAAGGCUUUGACGGGUAGCCGGCCUGAGAGGGUGACCGGCCACAUUGGGACUGAGAUACGGCCCAGACUCCUACGGGAGGCAACAGUGGGGAAUAUUGCACAAUGGGCGGAAGCCUGAUGCAGCAACGCCGCGUGCGGGAUGACGGCCUUCGGGUUGUAAACCGCUUUCGCCUGUGACGAAGCGUGAGUGACGGUAAUGGGUAAAGAAGCACCGGCUAACUACGUGCCAGCAGCCGCGGUGAUACGUAGGGUGCGAGCGUUGUCCGGAUUUAUUGGGCGUAAAGGGCUCGUAGGUGGUUGAUCGCGUCGGAAGUGUAAUCUUGGGGCUUAACCCUGAGCGUGCUUUCGAUACGGGUUGACUUGAGGAAGGUAGGGGAGAAUGGAAUUCCUGGUGGAGCGGUGGAAUGCGCAGAUAUCAGGAGGAACACCAGUGGCGAAGGCGGUUCUCUGGGCCUUUCCUGACGCUGAGGAGCGAAAGCGUGGGGAGCGAACAGGCUUAGAUACCCUGGUAGUCCACGCUGUAAACGGUGGGUACUAGGUGUGGGGUCCAUUCCACGGGUUCCGUGCCGUAGCUAACGCUUUAAGUACCCCGCCUGGGGAGUACGGCCGCAAGGCUAAAACUCAAAGGAAUUGACGGGGCCCCGCACAAGCGGCGGAGCAUGCGGAUUAAUUCGAUGCAACGCGUAGAACCUUACCUGGGUUUGACAUGGAUCGGGAGCGCUCAGAGAUGGGUGUGCCUCUUUUGGGGUCGGUUCACAGGUGGUGCAUGGCUGUCGUCAGCUCGUGUCGUGAGAUGUUGGGUUAAGUCCCGCAACGAGCGCAACCCUUGUUCACUGUUGCCAGCACGUUAUGGUGGGGACUCAGUGGAGACCGCCGGGGUCAACUCGGAGAAAGGUGGGGAUGACGUCAAGUCAUCAUGCCCCUUAUGUCCAGGGCUUCACGCAUGCUACAAUGGCUGGUACAGAGAGUGGCGAGCCUGUGAGGGUGAGCGAAUCUCGGAAAGCCGGUCUCAGUUCGGAUUGGGGUCUGCAACUCGACCUCAUGAAGUCGGAGUCGCUAGUAAUCGCAGAUCAGCAACGCUGCGGUGAAUACGUUCCCGGG
rnacentral:rRNA from 1 species